rnacentral:lncRNA from 1 species
AAACCCCGAAUUUUAGCCAGUUGAGGAGACAGAUUGGAGACUGCUCUCUCGUCCUCAUCAGCUGCAGCACCCAGGAAGCCAGAGUUGAAGUGGAUGCCCCCAGCUCCCCUCCACUGUCCCCACCCAUGGGGUGAGGUGGGGCUGGUCCUCCUGCCCAAGACCCCUCAAGAUCCCUCGCUUCUGCCAUGUGCUGCUCCCAUCAUGUGACCUGCACCUCUAACACACCCUUCCCAUAUCUCCCAUUGCUCUCUGUAAAACAGCCUGGGCCAGCAGCCUCUGGCCAGUCCACUUCACUCCUCAGCACCCCUCAGGAAAAUCCAGGCCCCCACCCUCCAGCCCACUCCUCUCACCCGUGGACUCUCUCGCUUCCUGGAACCUUAUCCAGUAGUCUCACGGAGGUGGGGGAUUUGAGUGUGCCCUGGAGCUCAUGGUCUGCUGUGCCAGUGGGCAUCGAGAGGGCCAGGAGCUGCCCAGUGCGUGGCUCUCAGCAGGCAGGGAUGAGGCUGUGGACAAGUAGUGCCUCGCCUUCUCAAGGACCAUGUUGGAAGCCAACCCCUCGCUCCUGCCUGGAGCUCGGCCCCUGCAGCGCAGAGCUGCGUGGGGGUGAGCAGUGCUGGCAACCUGCUCCUCCAAGGGGCAUCAUGUCAAGAUGCCUUGAUUGGGAGCUAGAGAGAGAGAACCCUGUCUUCUUGGACUCUGGGUUGGGGGCGGGGGGGUGGGGCAGGUGAACCAGUCACAGCUCCAGUGCUACAGAUGCUCCUGUUCUUACCCAGAUUUGACACAUUUUCUUUAAUAAAUGUUUCAUUUGCUGUGUAGCCUUAAGACAAUUUCCAGAGACUUUAAA